rnacentral:rRNA from 1 species
UACGUAGGGUGCAAGCGUUGUCCGGAAUUAUUGGGCGUAAAGAGCUCGUAGGCGGUUUGUCGCGUCUGCUGUGAAAUCCCGAGGCUCAACCUCGGGUCUGCAGUGGGUACGGGCAGACUAGAGUUCGGCAGGGGGAGACUGGAAUUCCUGGUGUAGCGGUGAAAUGCGCAGAUAUCAGGAGGAACACCGGUGGCGAAGGCGGGUCUCUGGGGCCGA